CCGGGCGACCGGAUGCGGAUCUCGAAAGCCUGUCCCAGUUCGGACUGGAGUCUGCAACCCGACUCCACGAAGUUGGAUUCGCUAGUAAUCGCGCAUCAGCCAUGGCGCGGUGAAUACGUUCCCGGGCCUUGUACACACCGCCCGUCAAGCCAUGGGAGCCGGGGGCGCCUGAAGUCCGGGACCGCGAGGACCGGCCUAGGGCGAAACUGGUAACUGGGGCUAAGUCGUAACAAGGUACC
rnacentral:rRNA from 1 species